rnacentral:rRNA from 1 species
UACGUAGGGGGCAAGCGUUGUCCGGAUUUACUGGGCGUAAAGCGCGCGUAGGCGGAACGAUCAGUCCGGUCUGAAAGCCCCCGGCUCAACCGGGGAGGGUGGCUGGAAACUGUCGUUCUUGAGGGCGAGAGAGGAGGGUGGAAUUCCUGGUGUAGCGGUGAAAUGCGUAGAGAUCAGGAGGAACACCGGUGGCGAAGGCGGAUCUCUGGGCCAUUACUGACGCUGAGGAGCGAAAGCGUGGGGAGCGAACAGG